rnacentral:rRNA from 1 species
AACGAACGCUGGCGGCAGGCUUAACACAUGCAAGUCGAACGCACCGCAAGGUGAGUGGCAGACGGGUGAGUAACACGUGGGGAUCUGCCCAAUGGUACGGAAUAGCUCCGGGAAACUGGAAUUAAUACCGUAUGUGCCCUUCGGGGGAAAGAUUUAUCGCCAUUGGAUGAACCCGCGUCGGAUUAGCUAGUUGGUGAGGUAAAGGCUCACCAAGGCGACGAUCCGUAGCUGGUCUGAGAGGAUGAUCAGCCACACUGGGACUGAGACACGGCCCAGACUCCUACGGGAGGCAGCAGUGGGGAAUAUUGGACAAUGGACGCAAGCCUGAUCCAGCCAUGCCGCGUAAGUGAUGAAGGCCUUAGGGUUGUAAAGCUCUUUCGCCGACGAAGAUAAUGACGGUAGUCGGAGAAGAAGCCCCGGCUAACUUCGUGCCAGCCGCCGCCGUAACAC